AGUGAACGCUGGCGGUAGGCCUAACACAUGCAAGUCGAACGGCAGCACAGUAAGAGCUUGCUCUUACGGGUGGCGAGUGGCGGACGGGUGAGGAAUACAUCGGAAUCUACUUUUUCGUGGGGGAUAACGUAGGGAAACUUACGCUAAUACCGCAUACGACCUACGGGUGAAAGCAGGGGAUCUUCGGACCUUGCGCGAUUGAAUGAGCCGAUGUCGGAUUAGCUAGUUGGCGGGGUAAAGGCCCACCAAGGCGACGAUCCGUAGCUGGUCUGAGAGGGUGGUCAGCCACAGUGGAAGUGAGACACAGUCCAGAGUCCUACGGGAGGCAGCAGUGGGGAAUAUUGGACGAUGGGCGCAAGCCUGAUCCAGCCAUACCGCGUGGGUGAAGAAGGCCUUCGGGUUGUAAGGCCCUUUUGUUGGGAAAGAAAAGCAGCAGGUUAAUACCCCGCUGUUCUGACGGUACCCAAAGAAUAAGCACCGGCUAACUACGUG
rnacentral:rRNA from 1 species